CCUACGGGUGGCAGCAGUGAGGAAUAUUGGUCAAUGGACGCAAGUCUGAACCAGCCAUGCCGCGUGCAGGAAGACGGCUCUAUGAGUUGUAAACUUCUUUUGUACGGGGGUAAACGCAGAUACGCGUGUCUGUCUGAAAGUAUCGUAAGAAUAAGGAUCGGCUAACUCCGUGCCAGCAGCCGCGGUAAUACGGAGGAUUCGAGCGUUAUCCGGAUUUAUUGGGUUUAAAGGGUGCGUAGGCGGUCGGAUAAGUUAGAGGUGAAAUCCCGAGGCUCAACUCCCGAGUUGCCGUUGAAACUGUGCGGCUAGAGAGUAGGUGGGGUAGGUGGAAUGCGUGGUGUAGCGGUGAAAUGCUUAGAGAUCACGAAGAACACCGAUUGCGAAGGCAGCUUACCAGGCUAUAUCUGACGUUGAGGCACGAAAGCGUGGGGAGCAAACAGGAUUAGAUACCCCGGUAGUC
rnacentral:rRNA from 1 species